GCUAGCUCAGUAGAUAGAGCAUGAGACUCUUAAUCUCAGGUUCGUGAGUUCAUGCCCCACGCA
rnacentral:tRNA from 1 species